CCUACGGGAGGCAGCAGUGGGGGAUAUUGGGCAAUGGGCGCAAGCCUGACCCAGCAACGCCGCGUGAAGGAAGAACGCUUUCGGGUUGUAAACUUCUUUUGUCAGGGACGAAGCAAGUGACGGUACCUGACGAAUAAGCCACGGCUAACUACGUGCCAGCAGCCGCGGUAAUACGUAGGUGGCAAGCGUUAUCCGGAUUUACUGGGUGUAAAGGGCGUGUAGGCGGGGAGGCAAGUCAGAUGUGAAAACCACGGGCUCAACCUGUGGCCUGCAUUUGAAACUGUUGAUCUUGAGUACUGGAGAGGCAGAUGGAAUUCCUAGUGUAGCGGUGAAAUGCGUAGAUAUUAGGAGGAACACCAGUGGCGAAGGCGGUCUGCUGGACAGUAACUGACGGUGAGGCGCGAAAGCGUGGGGAGCAAACAGGAUUAGAUACCCGAGUAGUC
rnacentral:rRNA from 1 species